AUUGAACGCUGGCGGCAGGCUUAACACAUGCAAGUCGAGCGGUAGCACAGGGGAGCUUGCUCCCUGGGUGACGAGCGGCGGACGGGUGAGUAAUGUCUGGGAAACUGCCUGAUGGAGGGGGAUAACUACUGGAAACGGUAGCUAAUACCGCAUAACGUCGCAAGACCAAAGAGGGGGACCUUCGGGCCUCUUGCCAUCAGAUGUGCCCAGAUGGGAUUAGCUAGUAGGUGGGGUAAUGGCUCACCUAGGCGACGAUCCCUAGCUGGUCUGAGAGGAUGACCAGCCACACUGGAACUGAGACACGGUCCAGACUCCUACGGGAGGCAGCAGUGGGGAAUAUUGCACAAUGGGCGCAAGCCUGAUGCAGCCAUGCCGCGUGUGUGAAGAAGGCCUUCGGGUUGUAAAGCACUUUCAGCGAGGAGGAAGGUGGUGAGCUUAAUACGCUCAUCAAUUGACGUUACUCGCAGAAGAAGCACCGGCUAACUCCGUGCCAGCAGCCGCGGUAAUACGGAGGGUGCAAGCGUUAAUCGGAAUUACUGGGCGUAAAGCGCACGCAGGCGGUUUGUUAAGUCAGAUGUGAAAUCCCCGGGCUCAACCUGGGAACUGCAUUUGAAACUGGCAAGCUAGAGUCUCGUAGAGGGGGGUAGAAUUCCAGGUGUAGCGGUGAAAUGCGUAGAGAUCUGGAGGAAUACCGGUGGCGAAGGCGGCCCCCUGGACGAAGACUGACGCUCAGGUGCGAAAGCGUGGGGAGCAAACAGG
rnacentral:rRNA from 1 species